CCUACGGGGGGCAGCAGUGAGGAAUAUUGGUCAAUGGACGAGAGUCUGAACCAGCCAAGUAGCGUGAAGGAUGACUGCCCUAUGGGUUGUAAACUUCUUUUAUAUAGGAAUAAAACGAGGUAUGCGUACCCUUUUGUAUUUACUUUAUGAAUAAGGAUCGGCUAAAUCCGUGCCAGCAGCCGCGGUAAUACGGAGGAUCCGCGCGUUAUCCGGAUUUAUUGGGGUUAAAGGGAGCGUAGGUGGAUUGUUAAGUCAGUUGUGAAAGUUUGCGGCUCAACCGUAAAAUUGCAGUUGAAACUGGCAGUCUUGAGUACAGUAGAGGUGGGCGGAAUUCGUGGUGUAGCGGUGAAAUGCUUAGAUAUGACGAAGAACCCCGAUUGCGAAGGCAGCUCACUGGACUGUGACUGACACUGAUGCUCGAAAGUGUGGGUAUCAAACAGGAUUAGAUACCCGAGUAGUC
rnacentral:rRNA from 1 species